UACGGAGGGUGCAAGCGUUAUCCGGAUUCACUGGGUUUAAAGGGUGCGUAGGCGGGCAGGUAAGUCAGUGGUGAAAUCUCCGAGCUUAACUCGGAAACUGCCGUUGAUACUAUCUGUCUUGAAUAUUGUGGAGGUAAGCGGAAUAUGUCAUGUAGCGGUGAAAUGCUUAGAUAUGACAUAGAACACCUAUUGCGAAGGCAGCUACUUACGCAAAUCAUUGACGCUGAGGCACGAAAGCGUGAGGAUCAAAACAGG
rnacentral:rRNA from 1 species